GACGAACGCUGGCGGCGUGCUUAACACAUGCAAGUCGAACGGAAAGGCCUGCUUUCCCUUGUGGAUUGCGGGUACUCGAGUGGCGAACGGGUGAGUAACACGUGAGUGAUCUGCCCCCAACUUGGGUAUAAGCCUGGGAAACUGGGUCUAAUUCCCGAUAGGACUGCAGGGUGGUGCCUGUGGUGGAAAACGAUUUUCUAGUGGUUGGGGAUGAGCUCGCGGCCUAUCAGCUUGUUGGUGGGGUAAUGGCCUACCAAGGCGGCGACGGGUAGCCGGCCUGAGAGGGGGGACGGCCACAGUGGGACUGAGAUACGGCCCAGACUCCUACGGGAGGCAGCAGUGGGGAAUAUUGCACAAUGGGCGGAAGCCUGAUGCAGCGACGCCGCGGGGGGGAUGACGGCCUUCGGGUUGUAAACUCCUUUCGACCGCGAGGAAGCCACCUGGUUGGAAGGGUGGUGACGGUAGUGGUAGAAGAAGCACCGGCUAACUACGUG
rnacentral:rRNA from 1 species